UGCCCCUCCACCUGCUGGCAUGUGUGGUCUCUCUCUCGAAAUAAAUAAACAUUAAAAAAAAAAAAAAUAGACAUUCCUCCUUCAGGUUUCCCCCUCUUCCAGGCAGAGCUCCGGAGAACCAAAGAGUAAGUGUGGGCCCAGGAAAUGCAAUUUCUGGGAGGCACGUGGCAUGAUUUCUUCCAGUCCUGGAAUCCAAGAGCUGGAAAGGAAGGGCCUGCCCUGUGGCCUGGCAAUGAUACGACGUGGUCCAAGCACUCAUUGAACACAGGAGGCAAACUGAGACCCGUGGGGUGGGCUGCCGGGCUGCAGGUGAAGUUCAACAAGGAGAGGGCGGACAGCUGGAGGGGGCUCCUCUGUGCAAGAGUCUCCACACGCCAGACACGUGAGAUUCUGAGGAAAGCAGAUUACCCUCGGUAACACAGAUGGGCCUCAUCCAAUCAGUUGAAGGCCCUAAAAAACCCUGCAGUUCUCUGAGGAAGAAGGAACUCUGCCUCCAGACUGCCUCUGGACUCAAGACUGCACCAUCAACUCUUCCCUGCAUCUCUAGCUGUCGGCUUGAUUUGAAACUUGCCAGCCUCCACAGUCAAGUGAGUCAAUUCCUUGAACGAUCCCUCCAUCCGUCCACCCUAUUGGUUCUGCUCCUCGGGAGAACCCCAGUACACCAUUCCAGGCUUGACCCAAAGCCUCCCCCCUUCAGGCCACCUUCAUUAUGCAUCCCUCCUAAGUUCCUGAGUGCCUCCUCAAUUCUACUUUACCCUUCAUUCUGUUUUG